UACGAAGGGGGCUAGCGUUGCUCGGAAUCACUGGGCGUAAAGCGCACGUAGGCGGAUCUUUAAGUCAGGGGUGAAAUCUUUCGGCUCAACCGGAAAAGUGCCUCUGAUACUGGUCGUCUUGAGGGAGGUAGGGGUCGAGGGAACUGGUGGUGGAGGCGGUGGAAAUGCGUGAGAUAUCACUAGGAACGCCGGUGGCGAAAGCGCUCGACGUGGACCUCUUCUGACGCUGAGGCGCG
rnacentral:rRNA from 1 species